UACGUAGGGGGCAAGCGUUGUCCGGAAUCAUUGGGCGUAAAGCGCGCGUAGGCGGCCAGAUAAGUCCGGUGUGAAAGUCACAGGCUCAACCUGUGAAUGCCGCUGGAAACUGUCUGGCUUGAGUCCGGAAGGGGGCGAGUGGAAUUCCUGGUGUAGCGGUGGAAUGCGCAGAUAUCAGGAAGAACACCAAUGGCGAAAAGCAGCUCUCUGGGACGGUACUGACGCUGAGA
rnacentral:rRNA from 1 species